GAGAAAGAACGAAGCUUUGCGGUGCCGUCUCUUUAUAUUCAACGACCGGGAGAGGGCAAACGGCACAAACAGGAAAUUCGCUAAACGGUCACUCUUCUCAUAGUUCUCCCCUAAUCAACGCCUCGGCCGUCUCACCUCCUUCUCCCGGCAGCAACAUAGCUCUCGUUCUGUUUAUUUAUUCGUCCUCCUUAGUCGAAGAAUGUUUUCGUCGGAGCAAUGGAAGUCAAAUGAAUUGGCAAAGACAAAAGAGGGAGAAGAAAUACAGUAAAUAGUUAAGAAUUAUGGAUUUUGGGAUGACAUGGUUGAUUGUCUGAACUUUGCUCUUCCUAUCAUUGAAGUACUUCUAAAGAUAGAUUCUGAUGAAAAACCAUGGGAUUCAUUUAUGAAGAGAUGAAACGUGCAAAAGAGAAUCUUCAAUCAUUGAAUAAUGCAAAAGGGUAUGAGCUUAUUUUAAAAAUAAUUAAUGAGAGAUGAAAUGCACAAAAUUCAUCCGCUGUAUGCAGCAAGUUAUUUUUUCAACCCUCGAUCCCACUAUGACCCCACUUUCGAGUUCCCUUCUGAAGUUCUUCAUGCAAUUCUUACAAUGCUGUUGAAAACAAACUGAAAGAUGAUGAUAAUGGAGACAAACUGUCAGACAAAAUGACAAACAGAAUGUCGUUGUCGGAACGAUUAAAUGAAUUUACAAAUACUUUGGGAUUGUUUGGAACCCAGGCUGCAAUUAUUGCGAGACAUACAAAAGAUCCAGUUAUGUGGUGGCAUUCAUAUGGAAAUGAUUGCCCUGAGCUGCAAUGGAUGGCAAUUCACCUAUUAAGUUUGACUUGUAAAUCUGCCGGAGGUGGAGAAAUCUGGAAACCAAUGGAGCAGGUUCGCCAGAAGAAAAGAAGCUUCUUGUAUCAAAAGAAGCUGAAUGAUCUGUUUCUUGUCAUUCAAAAUUUUAAAUCAAAAGCGCGACAAACUAGAACAAAAAUAUUUGAGGGCAUUAAUCCGGAAGUGUUGUCCUCAGAAUGAAUUGAUUACUGAAAAGGAAGUUGGUGACGUAAGUGGAGCAAAGGAUAUGCUUGUCAAUGUUGAUGCAGACGAGGAUGUUAGUGAAGGUAAGGAACUCCUACCGUCAAUCAGAACAAGUUAUCCUCAUAAAGUAGGGAAAACAAUAUUUUAA